CUUUCAUCUGGGAAAGUACAUCUAACUCACUCAGAGUGAAAUACCACUUCAUUUAUGAAUCUGGCAUGGACAGAGUUAUAGUACAAGGCUACCUGUCCCUCAGAUCGUGUCUGAUAUCAGGAUCCCUCACAUACUGGAGUAGCUCCAACAGCUAACUCAUCCUAAUAGGAAUGGGAAGGGAUCCUACAAGGGAGAGGGCAGUUGGCAGGCCUGAGAAGGACAGUGAUAAUAAGGGCCUGCAGAAUGUAACUGCUGCGGCAGGACGAACAAAGACACUAUUCAGCGCGGAGAGCAGCUUCCCUUCCGCACCACUCUCUGACCACAGAGAGGCUGGCUGGAGCACGCUAUCUGACAGACACAGGAUUCGCUGGCUGAACAAAACUCCCCAAGGACUCCAGUUCAGCAUUCUGAAUUUCUCUUGUGGGAUGAAGACUUCCUUUUCAGUACUAGUCUGAACAAUGAGAAUCAGCUGCAACUUGUUUUCAUUUCUCAGUUCUUUACAUAUAGAAAUUCAUUCUUUGGAAUAAUGCUUAACAAAGUUGUUGCUCAUUAGAGCUAAGGUGGCUGGUUUCAGUACCCCAAUUUUGUUCUAGGAUGGUAUGUUCCAAAGUUACAGAAGUUGUAAGAAGACAUUGUUUCUAAUCUACAGCCUCUGAAAUCCCAUUGCAGGGGUCAUUUCCUGACUUUUGUGUCACUUCAAUCCAGUCCCUUGAAAGUUCCCACCCCCUGUGACUUUGCAAACUAAGUAUAUAAUUCAAGUAUUUUCCCAUAUCUUUUUCAUAGGUUGUACACAUAAAGGAAUUUACUGUAAGCUUGAUUUUGCGUGAGAAAAUAAAUGUAGACAUUUGCUGAGCUGAAUAAUAAAA
rnacentral:lncRNA from 1 species